UACGAAGGGGGCUAGCGUUGCCCGGAAUCACUGGGCGUAAAGCGCACGUAGGCGGAUUGUUAAGUCAGGGGUGAAAUCCUGGAGCUCAACUCCAGAACUGCCUUUGAUACUGGCGAUCUUGAGUCCGGGAGAGGUGAGUGGAACUGCGAGUGUAGAGGUGAAAUUCGUAGAUAUUCGCAAGAACACCAGUGGCGAAGGCGGCUCACUGGCCCGGUACUGACGCUGAGGCACGAAAGCGUGGGGAGCAAACAGG
rnacentral:rRNA from 1 species